ensembl:lncRNA
CUUUAAUAGACAUGAAGAAAUGCUACUCAGCACACUUACAGUUACUUCUAACAUGAUUCCCAGUGUCUUCACACAAAUUAGUUCUCUAUUAGAAGAGCAAUGAUGUUUCUACUGGGAUGAUCAGAGGUUGGGAAACUUUGAAGUCCCAAAGCAUUUUGUUAGAUUGUUAGAAAGCAAGGCCUGCUUCUCAGAACGCACAGGUAAGUGUACCUCAGGUCUAGGUCCUCGGCAUGAUGCUUCAUCCUGCACAUCUCACUGGAAAACAGGAAGCUGCAGAGGAGCAUGCGAGUUGUCAGAGGUACCAGGUGAGCACCAGGGGUUAUGAAAACACAGGAAAGCAGGACCGCAGGGAGUCAGACCCAGAAUAGGGCCAUCUGGCUACAAGGACCUCUGCCUCACAGCAGGGGAGACCACAGUGGCCUUUCAUCAUCCAUUCCAGUCCGUGAUUAUGUACAUGCCCUUCAAAGUAUCCCCAGCCACAAUUAGUCACCUCCUACAUUCAAUGAUCAUUGAACUUGAGAGCUUUUUAAAGCUAAUUAUCUGUUUUUUUUUUUAAAAAAAGAAGCAAUGCAAUAACAGGCAUCUAAUCCUAUGAUCCAGAUGCUGGCGAAUAGACCUCUCUGCACAGUGUCCUGUGCACAGGAAAUGGAGCCUCAGUGGGCAGGCAGCCCAUUAUAAAGUUUCCAAACUGGUCCUUGGUGAGGGUUCGUCUGCAUUCCUAUCUAGGCUGUGCCACUAACUAGUUGUUUGUCUUUGGGAAAGUUACUUUAUCUGUGCUUAGCUUCCUCAUCUAAAAAAGAAGGAUAGUAACAGCAUUUCCCUCAUGGGUUUGAUGAGGGAUACAAAGAUAAUGCAGGUAAGCUCUCAACUGUCUGUCACAUAGUAGGCAUCUGUGUGUGCGUGCUUAGUCACUCAGUCGUGUCUAACUGUCUGCAGCCCCAUGGACUGUAUAGCCCACCAGGCUCCUCUGUCCACGGGAUUCUCCAGGGAAGAAUCCUGGAGUGUGUUACCAUUCCCUUCUCCAGGAAGUUUAUUUUUAAGCUGUAGUUUAAAAGGUUUAAAUUAGGAAAGGGAACUUGCUGCCAGAGAAAGGGGUUGUCCAACCUAAGGAGGAGUUGUGUGUAGAGUUGCUUGCUGUCUCCGUAAGAAGCCUUUAGAGGUAGAGUGAUUUCCCUCUCCAGGGCAAACUGUGACACAGGCCUUUUCUGGUGCUUCCUGAACAGCCCAGUUUCUGAAUCUGCUCCCUGGGGUGUUUCUUAGAUGAAUUCUUUUGCCUAUAAUGCCACAUUCAGAAGUGGACCAGCAAAAUUAUGUCCCAAAAAACUAGUCUGGAAGAUAACAUCUUCAAGUGCACUGGCUAUAAUAAUCAAAACAGAAACAGAACUUCCAACCUUCAACCUCAGAAUGAAGUUAGAACCGGCUCUUUAAAUAAGUAACUCAAGAUAUGAAAAAUUUAAACAAUUUGUAAUCAGUCAAGUCCGGGAAUACAGAGUUUUACUACAAGUGUGUGUGUUUAAUCACUCAGUUGUGUCUGACUCUUUGCAACCCUGUGGACUGUACCCUGCUAGGCUCCUCUGUCCCUGGGGAUUCUCCAGGCAAGAAUACUGAGUGGGUUGCUCCAGAGGAAAGCAUAUUUGACUUUGGGUGGGAUGGCAGGGGUGGGGUAGAGAGGAGCCUGAGAUUUGGUGUUAGGACAAAUCCCUGAAAAGAUUCUGGGGCCAAACUCCUACGGUGUGAGUGCAGUCCUUCAGUGGCUGUGUGAUCUCAGGCAAAUUACCUCUAAGUGCUUUAGUGUCAUCAUCUGAAAGUGGGGAUAACAGAAUCAGAACUUUGAGAGUUAAACAGAUUAAUCUACAUGAAGCACUUAGCAGAGUGUAGACUUGGAGUCAAUGCUAUGCAAAUGAAGCUACUGUAUUGAUACUACCAUUAGUAAUAGAAGUGGAGCCCCACUUGGUUCCUCCAUCCAUAGAUGGGAAUGUGAAAGCCUUCACUUAUCGUGAAGAAAGAACCAGUCUUCUGUGGGAUAGUCACUUAAGAGACUCCUGCUGUUCACAUUGAACCACUUAUUUCUCUUCCCUCACUUAAUACAGGUGCUCCUGAAAGGGGUAAACCUUUGAACCAAGCAAGUGUCAGGAAGUUCCCAAAUGAUUUGAGAAUAUAGAGGGUGGGAAGAAGAUGUUCAUAACUCUACUGAGCUGAACUGUUCCCAGAUAUGCAUGAAAAUGAAAACAGAAAAUACAUUGAGGCAUGCUUUUAAAAGAGGAGAGGAGGGCUUCCCUGGUGGUCCAGUGGUUAAGCAUCCACCUUGCAGUGCAAGGAUCACUGGUUCAAUCCCUGGUCCAGGAAGAUCCCACAUGCUGCAGGACAACUAAGCCCAAGUGCCACCCUGGUGAGCCUGCACUCUGGAGCCCAUGAGCCACAAAUAUUGAAGCCCAUGCACCCCAGCCACUGAAGCCUGCAUGCCAUGGAGCCCAUGCUACACAACAAAAGAAGCCCCCACAACAAGAAGCCUGUGUACCGCAACUGGAGAGCAGUCCCCACUCACCGCAAGUAGAGAAAGCCCUCUCGUAGCAGUGAAGACCCGUGCAGCCAAAAAUAAAUAAAUAUUCAAGGAGGAAAGAACUAAUACUCUGGUAGUAAUUUUUAGUGCUAUUAAGGAUUACUGUUUGUUUCUUAAUUGGAAAUUCAUGUCUAAAUACUGUACCUAGCCUUUUUUGUACAUAGACAAAAAAGGUUAGAUACACUAUUGAAGUAUACGAAAAACACUUUUUAGACUGCAAAACCUGAGGCACAUCUUGCUAAAACGAGACAGAGCUUGUCAAACACUGAUGAAGGAAGGGAAUAGGCUCAACUGAACGCUCAGUUGCCAGGGGCAGCUUCAACUUCAGCUCCCUGGGACACCGAAGAAUACUGCUUAUGGAGAACAGGGCCAAGAUGACUCAUCGCCCAAGGCUUUGGUCCCUAGACUGAGAUGGAAUCCUCCCAGAAUAUAGCUAUGCCUGCCAAGUUAAUCUUAAAAAGCUUUCAUGGUCAGGGAAGAUAUCCUUAGGAAAUCUUCUGAGGUCUGUCACAGGCUCUGUCCCCCUUUUCCAAUCAAAUAGGGAUUAUCUGCAUUGGUGGUUUCCUUCCAGUUUUAACAUGAACAAGUAGGGUCAUGUGAUUUCAGGAGCCUGUGAUUUCAGGCCGAGUCUCACUGUUCUGGUUUAUUUGGUACAGAAUGAGGAGCAAAAGAUUUACAGGAGCCGGGAAAGAAAGCGUGCGAGGACGGAGAGGCUGUUCCCUCACCCCCACCUUUCUCCUGGCUUUGCAGCUCCUCCCAAAUGUCUGAGGUGAUGAUGAAGCCAGUGAGGCAUCCUGGGAGGAGGAGAAAGUGUGUGCCCUGGGUUUCUGGGCUUCGUAAGGCAAUCGGGUUAGCCAAGAGAUCAGGCCCUAUAGCCAUGGCCAUUGUGAGGAGCUCACAGCUCUCAGAGUAGAGAACAUAAGUUUUAAAAAGAGACGUUUCAGCCUCAAAGAAUACCUUUCCUUGUUCUAAAGCAGCAGUUUCCAAACUUUAUUAUCAGAAAUUCCUAUCAGUAAAAUAAAAUUGACAUACUAUAUAUAAAUAUACACACUUGUGUGUAUUAUGUGUACUCCUGAAUUAAUAUGUGUUAUAAAACACCCAAAAUAAAAAUUAGGAAAGACUGAGAUGAACCAAACAGAAAUAGAAGUCUUAACUUUUUCCUCUUUCUCACCCCAGUGGAUUAUCUUGCCCCAUGCUUGGAGUGUGUGCACUCAACUUUGGAGAUGACUCUAAGUGGUGAAAUGCUGGGAGGUCAUAGCAUGUUGCUCCAGUAGCAAAGGCAGCGAUGGAACAGACCACCAACGGGAGCUCCUUGAGGAAGGACUUGGUUUUCCUUAUUCAACUUUCUGUGCUCGAUUCUAAUUAAAUGGCCCCCAAGCCAAGAGAUACCAGUGAAAGAUGUUCUUUGGGGAUGGAUCCUUGAGCUGAAAAUAGGUACAGGAGAAUGGAGCAGCCUCUAUCCAGUCAUGUGCGUAGCUGACUCAUGAGGACCCACAGGAAGUGGCUGAGAAAGGAGAACAGAAAACAACAGAUACCACGAGAAAAGUGGAGAGGCGGUGAGUAAAAGAUGGCAAUAAUGAAUCUAUGGUGCCUCAUGAUGUAGGUCUUUGCAUGAGUAUCACCUCAUUUAUUUCUCAUAACAAUCCUAUGAGACAGGUGCUAUGAUCAUCCUUGUUUUAGGAACCCAAGACACAAAGGAGUUGUACCUGACAAGACUCAAAGUAGAGCCAUGAUAAAAACUAUAGACUGUCCUCUUGUUUAGCCAUUUUGAUUACUGCCUCUCCCAAGGGAGAUGAGGGGCACCCCCUGAAGCUCCUGGGAGUCAACCCUUCCUAAGCUCAGAUGCUUGAGCUCUGUUGGAUUUCCCGAGAUCAUCUGAGCCUAUCUGACCAUCUGGAACAGCUUCUAGUUCCUGUCAUCCAAAAGAACUCAACCAAAUCAGAUGGGGAGAUUAGGGAAUUUUCUGAGUAAGGCAAACUGGAAAUGUUAGAGAGAAAAGGGGAUUGUUGAUGGAGCAGACCUACAAGGAAGCACAAAGGGGUGGAACUAAGGGUGAGGGAGAGAUUUUUCUUGUCCCACAGACAGAACCAUAUGGCUUAGCUUUACAGUCAGGCUCCACAGUGCCACAUGACAUGUUAAUCAACUAACCAAACCUACAGGAGUUACACAUAGCCCAGUGGCUAUGCCUUUCCGGCUGGCUUAGCCACUAAUGAAGGGAGCAGGUGAGGCUGGGCCUGCAUGCCUCCUUCUUUCUGAGCCCAAGUUUCUCUGUUGACAAAAUGGGGAUGAUGAUUAAUAAAUGGAGAGAAGUUGACUUUCCAGGCCUCUGGGGAAACUGCAGAGGUACAGAGCACCAUGGUGGGGCUGCUCACUGUGGCAGCCAGACCCAAGGUCUCGAGUCAGAUUUUCCAGAGUUGAUCUCUGAGGGGGAGGGCUGACAGCAGGCAGUGUGUAGGGGAAUGCUCUCAGGAGCAGCACGUGUGAGGGCUGAGGGCAGCCAGAAUGAGCAGAGAUAGAAGUUACAGGAAAGACAGCAGUUGAUUCUGGGGGAACUGGGCCUGGGAUGGCCCACAGAGUCAUCCCUAACUGAGGUUGGAGCUAAGCCUUUGAACCCCACACCCUCUGAGAGGUCAAGGUGCCUGGGAUGCCCUGUUAGGUAUGGCAGCUCCCUUGAGUCAAGGGGGCAUGUCUUGGGGAGAGACACAGCUGUGAGAGCUUCAGCAGGGAACAUUCCAUGCAGAUUGGGGCGCAGGGGUGGGGAGAGUGCCUCAGUCUUGAAAGAGGUGAUCUGAGUGGUACUUGCAACACAGAAAAACUGAACCCCCAGUUUUCAGGGGCCAAAUCAGGCAGGGAGCCUUGCUUUGGGAAAGUGGGGACUGGAAGGGGUCAGGAGGAGACUGCAGAAUGUUCUGUACUGAUAAGCUCUCUCCUUAUCCCCACCUGAAAUUGUUGGGAAAGUACGUGACCUGUGAAAAGGCUGCAUGUGUCUGCAUGUGUGUAUGUGUGGAGGCUGUAAAGGGAGAGACUCCUGUAUCUCGUCUGGAGCCAAAACUCCAAGGAACUUAAAAAGUCAGAGAAACUGGAGAUAAGGAGGCAAGGAAACUGUAGGGAGAACACUGGAUCACAGUCUGGGCCAAGCUGAGCCUAAAUCUCCAGUGGGCAGGGGAGUCACAGGUGUAUCAUGUUAAAAACACGCUCUUUUCCCAGCAUGCAGCUGGGCUUGGAGGAUUUCAGCACUUCCAGAGUGAAAUAGAAACUCCUCUCUGCAGUUCGUGUGUCCCCAGCCCACGUCUGGGCUUCGUCACUGAGAACUGCCCCAGCCCUGAUUUGGGAGACACACGAUGAAAUGAGAGGAUAAGCCUAUGCCUGAGGCAUCUUCACUUCAGGGGAGUGCACACAGACAGAGGCCACCUGAAGACCUGGCAAGAGGCGCUUGCAAGCCAAGGAGAGAUGCCCCGGAGAAAGCAAACCGCCAGCACCUUGAAUGGUGAGAAAUGCGUUUCUGUUGCCUAAACCAAUGAGUCUGUGGUGUUUUGUUAUGGCUGCCCUGGCUGACUGACAGGGAGAUAGGAAGCCAUGGGCUGAGAAGGUUGGUGCAGGAGGCAAAACCUACCCACGUGUGUUCCUGCUUCUCUCUCUUCUCUUUCCUGCCUCCCACGAUCAGACCCUGGAGGGGAUGGUCAGUGGCCAGAGGACACCUGGCAGAGAUGGGUUUCCAAGGGUGCAUGAAACUGUGGACACACAAAUGUGUAACACUGGAGACCAGGGCCUCCAGGGCUCCUUUGCCAAUCGGCUUUCAGGCCGGAGGUCACCAGCUGCAGGCACUUGAGGAAGUAAAGGGAAGAGAAGUAGCUACAUACACACACACACCCCUCUUCACUUCCCGCCACUUGUGUGCUCUCUUCUUGGCCAUUGCUAAGGUCACUGACCUGAAUUCGGCUCUCAAGGGACAUUUGUUUCACUGUAAUUCUUUUGAUCCCAGUUUGGAACUUGGCUAAAAAGUAUGACCCAAUUUAAGAAAGUAUUCAACACCCAUAUCUAAACUGAAAACGGAGAACAAGAAAGGUAAGAGAGGGGCCUUAUCUGAAAAAUGAGGCAGUUGUGGUUUAAAAAAAAAAUUAAACCACAAGAAGGCUUUCUUCAAAGAAAAUCUUACCAGGAAGCAGAGAGAAGGGAGGUACACGUGAGCUGAGCUGCUUGGAUCAAAGGGGAGGGUUCCAGAAUCCUGCCCAGCAAGGCCAGGCUCUGCAGACCAGGCUCUGAAAUCACUUGACUAUCAUCUCUGAAAUCCUCCUCUGGCCUCUGAUCUGCAAUCCCUGAGGAGUCAGUGGUCGCAGCUCCCCAGACUGAGGGGGAGCCAGUGGAGCUGGCGCCCAGGGGAGGGUCCUCAGCUACUCCUCCUCAACUCAGCAUCCAUCC